AAAGUGAAGAGUUUGAUCCUGGCUCAGAACGAACGCUGGCGGCGUGGCUAAAGCAUGCAAGUCGAACGGACUCUUGCAAGGGGUAACCCGAGCUUGAGUUAGUGGCGGACGGGUGAGUAAUGCAUGGACAACGUACCCCAGACUCGGGGAUAACGGCGGGACUUCGGUUCCUUUGCGAAAGUGCCGUUAAUACCCGAUGACCCCGUAGGAUCGAAUGGUCCAGCGGGCAAAGCUCCGGCGGUCUGGGAGCGGUUCAUGUCCUAUCAGCUUGUUGGUGGGGUAAAGGCCUACCAAGGCAACGACGGGUAUCGGGCGUGAGAGCGUGACCCGACACAUCGGAACUGAGACACGGUCCGGACACCUACGGGUGGCUGCAGCAACGAAUAUUCCCCAAUGGACGCAAGUCUGAGGGAGCGACGCCGCGUGCAGGAAGAAGUCCCUCGGGAUGUAAACUGCUGUAUAGGGGUUAGGAAUACCGACCACCCCCUAAGAAAGCACCGGCUAACUCCGUGCCAGCAGCCGCGGUAAUACGGAGGGUGCAAGCGUUGUUCGGAAUUACUGGGCUUAAAGAGCGUGUAGGCGGAAUGGCAGGUGUCGGGUGAAAGCCCUCGGCUCAACCGAGGAACUGCCCGGCAAACCUCCAAUCUUGAGGCAGGCAGAGGUGACUGGAACAACUGGUGGAGCGGUGAAAUGCGUAGAUAUCAGUUGGAACGCCGGUGGCGAAAGCGGGUCGCUGGGCCUGUUCUGACGCUGAGACGCGAAAGCGUGGGGAGCAAACAGGAUUAGAUACCCUGGUAGUCCACGCCGUAAACGAUGCGCACUAGGUAUGGGAGACUCUGGCGUCGACCGUGCCGUAGGAAAACUGAUAAGUGCGCCGCCUGGGGAGUACGGCCGCAAGGCUAAAACUCAAAGGAAUUGACGGGGGCUCACACAAGCGGUGGAGCAUGUGGAUUAAUUCGAAGCAACGCGAAGAACCUUACCUGGGUUUGA
rnacentral:rRNA from 1 species